rnacentral:rRNA from 1 species
AUUGAACGCUGGCGGAAUGCUUUACACAUGCAAGUCGAGCGGCAGCGCGGCCUUCGGGCUGGCGGCGAGCGGCGAACGGGUGAGUAAUGCAUCGGAACAUGCCCAGUCGUGGGGGAUAACACUUCGAAAGAAGUGCUAAUACCGCAUACGUCCUGAGGGGGAAAGCGGGGGAUCGCAAGACCUCGCGCGUUUUGAGUAGCCGAUGUCAGAUUAGCUAGUUGGUGGGGUAAAGGCCUACCAAGGCGACGAUCUGUAGCCGGUCUGAGAGGAUGAUCAGCCACACUGGGACUGAGACACGGCCCAGACUCCUACGGGAGGCAGCAGUGGGGAAUUUUGGACAAUGGGGGCAACCCUGAUCCAGCCAUUCCGCGUGAGUGAAGAAGGCCUUCGGGUUGUAAAGCUCUUUCGGCAGGAACGAAACGGUGGGCUCUAACAUAGUCCGAUAAUGACGGUACCUGAAGAAGAAGCACCGGCUAACUACGUG